rnacentral:rRNA from 1 species
AGGACGAACGCUGGCGGCGCGCCUAAUACAUGCAAGUCGAACGGUCUUUCUAUGGAAGCUUGCUUCCACUGAGAAGAUAGUGGCGAACGGGUGAGUAACACGUGGGUAACCUGCCCAUAAGAGGGGGAUAACAUCCGGAAACGGGUGCUAAUACCGCAUAGUUUUCUUGAUCGCAUGAUUGAGAAAGGAAAGACGGCCUUUGUGCUGUCGCUUAUGGAUGGACCCGCGGCGUAUUAGUUAGUUGGUGAGGUAACGGCUCACCAAGACGAUGAUACGUAGCCGACCUGAGAGGGUGAUCGGCCACAUUGGGACUGAGACACGGCCCAAACUCCUACGGGAGGCAGCAGUAGGGAAUCUUCCGCAAUGGACGAAAGUCUGACGGAGCAACGCCGCGUGAGUGAAGAAAAGGUUUUCGGAUCGUAAAACUCUGUUGUCAGAGAAGAACAAGUUGGAGAGUAACUGCUCCAGCCUUGACGGUAUCUGACCAGAAAGCCACGGCUAACUACGUGCCAGCCGCAGC